rnacentral:rRNA from 1 species
GAUCAUGGCUCAGGACGAACGCUGGCGGCGUGCCUAACACAUGCAAGUCGAACGGAGGAUAAAGAUUUCGGUUUUUAUCUUAGUGGCGCACGGGUGAGUAACACGUGAAUAACCUGACCCAAAGAGGGGGAUAACACCUGGAAACAGGUGCUAAUACCGCAUAAGACCACAAUGUCGCAUGACGAAGGGGUCAAAGAAAAUCGCUUUGGGAGGGGUUCGCGUCCCAUUAGGUAGUAGGCGGGGUAACGGGCCCACCUAGCCGACGA